rnacentral:lncRNA from 1 species
GUUAAACCUCCAUCAAACAGACACACGGUGCACAAAAGAAAACCUCAUCACCAAGGGGAACUAAUCCACCUCUGCGCAAUGUAAGCCUGUCAACUUUUUAUUAUAAGAAGUCAUCAGUCAUUUCAGUGAAGAUUAAAAGUAUGACUAAAUUGAGAAAAUCCUCUUAGCCGUUUGGAAUUUUAAUAGGGGAGCAAAGGGGAAAUAAGGCUGCAGGAGAUGCGCACAUUUGGUUACUCAUUUCCAGCAGGCACCCUCCACAGGGUCACAGGAAAACAAUCAGGAAAUGGGUUCAGGAACAUUGAUAAUGGUUCUUCUUUGAAGAUCUGGACAAUUUCAGCAGUAAAUGUAUCUGGGCCUAGAGCUUUUAGGUACCUCCUCGAACGCUUUAUGAUUUUUUAUUACUACACAUCUUUGGAAAGUGGUGAACUCUAAGAAACAGUGUCCAAUCAACCACACUGAAUUGGAAGUCCCAAGUAAUAACUUAGUAAUUAGAAAAAUCAAUAUUGUUAAGGCGAGGCUGAGACAAAACCUUUAUGAAGAGGAAAACCUCAGAGACUUAUAAACUAUUUCUCUUCACAGAACUAUAUCACACAUCUGUAAGCCUAGAUCAUAACUUCACUGCUCCACUGUACUCAUUUAAAUAGAACCAAGCCUCUACAUUACAGAUUAAAUUUCCUGAGAGGUGACAAAAGACAUUGGUCCUCUGUGGAAUGAAUGUUUUUAAUUUCCUUAAAAACUGCUCAUUUUCUCAUUAAAAAAAAAGAAAAAGCCCAAACA